GAUACUCUAGAAAUAAUUGUUGCUAUGGCUAAUGUGAGAAAUUACAACCUGUGGUCCCUUCUAGAAUUUUUAUGGUUUCAGGUCUCACAUUUAGGUCUUU